CAGUCGCCGCGGUAAUACAGAGGGUGCGAGCGUUAAUCGGAUUUACUGGGCGUAAAGCGUGCGUAGGCGGCUUUUUAAGUCGGAUGUGAAAUCCCUGAGCUUAACUUAGGAAUUGCAUUCGAUACUGGGAAGCUAGAGUAUGGGAGAGGAUGGUAGAAUUCCAGGUGUAGCGGUGAAAUGCGUAGAGAUCUGGAGGAAUACCGAAGGCGAAGGCAGCCAUCUGGCCUAAUACUGACGCUGAGGUACGAAAGCAUGGGGAGCAAACAGGAUUAGAUACCCCAGUAGUCCCUGUCUCUUAUAU
rnacentral:rRNA from 1 species